GAUUACUGUCUCGUUGGUGACCAGCGGAGGGUCAUUACCGAGUUUACAACUCCCAAACCCCUGUGAACAUACCUUAUGUUGCCUCGGCGGAUCAGCCCGCGCCCCGUAAAAAGGGACGGCCCGCCGCAGGAACCCUAAACUCUGUUUUUAGUGGAACUUCUGAGUAUAAAAAACAAAUAAAUCAAAACUUUCAACAACGGAUCUCUUGGUUCUGGCAUCGAUGAAGAACGCAGCAAAAUGCGAUAAGUAAUGUGAAUUGCAGAAUUCAGUGAAUCAUCGAAUCUUUGAACGCACAUUGCGCCCGCCAGUAUUCUGGCGGGCAUGCCUGUUCGAGCGUCAUUUCAACCCUCAAGCCCAGCUUGGUGUUGGGAGCUGCAGUCCUGCUGCACUCCCCAAAUACAUUGGCGGUCACGUCGAGCUUCCAUAGCGUAGUAAUUUACACAUCGUUACUGGUAAUCGUCGCGGCCACGCCGUUAAACCCCAACUUCUGAAUGUUGACCUCGGAUCAGGUAGGAAUACCCGCUGAACUUAAGCAUAUCU
rnacentral:rRNA from 1 species